rnacentral:rRNA from 1 species
GACGAACGCUGGCGGCGUGCCUAAUACAUGCAAGUCGAACGCAGUGGCGAACGGGUGAGUAACGCGUAGGUAACUGCCGCAUAGCGGGGGAUAACUAUUGGAAACGAUAGCUAAUACCGCAUACUGUGAGAUGGACAUGCGUUGUAUUAGCUAGUUGGUGAGGUAAAGGCUCACCAAGGAGACGAUACAUAGCCGACCUUGGAGGGUGAUCGGCCCCACGUGGAACGGAACAAGGCCCAGACUCCUACGGGGCGGCACAGUAGGGAAUCUUCGGAAAUGGACGGAAGUCUGACCGAGGAACUCCGGGGGAGUGAAAGAGGUUUUCGGAGCUUAAAGCUCUGUUGUUAGAGAAGCGGUAACUACCCAGAAAGGGACGGCUAACUACGUGCCAGCAGCCGCGGUAAUUC